CAGCCUGGCAUGUGUAUGGGAUGGAGUGUUGGUGGAGAGCCCUACAAGGUCCACGUCCUGAGCCCAGGUUUGAAUUCUACCCCUACACUGUCAUCUCGUGCACUCAUGGGCACCAUCCGAUAACGCCCCGCACGCCCCCGCCUCCCCACACACCUGUGUGCAGGGACCUAUGGGAGUGUAUCCUCCAAGUCCAGGCCGGCUCCCCAUACACCCUUACACACUGUCAAGCAACGAGCUCUCCACACCCCCUUCCUCCCCACCCCAGUGCGCGACCCCGUCGCCAGCCAGUUCCCCUUCGCACACACACCAGUGUGCACCGUCCGGUACUGGCCGCCGUACUGCGUGGUGACCUCCGGGCCCAGGCAGGCGGCGCUCAGCGCGGGCUGGCGGCUAAGGCCCCGAUACAGAGCCGCCGCCUCCUCGGGCUCACUCAGCAGCACCUGCGCAGGGGACACACCAGGGUCAGGCCCGGCCCGGGCUGCGGGGACCACGGGGACCGCGGGCCGAGCCCUCACCUGACGUUCCAUAGUCUCCUCUCUGCCUCCCGGGCGAGGCGGGGCGGGGUGUGCUCGCGCCCGGAAGUGAGUCUUCCGGGGGCGGAGCCUGGGACCGCCCCGGCUGUCUCCGCCCCUGCCCGGCGGCAAUCUGGGACGCGGGGGCCUUCGGCGAAUAGGCGAGAACCGUUGGCAAGGGGCGGGCCUUGACGAUGCUUCACCCAGGCAGCUGCUGUGAGAAAACAUCACGUCCUCAACUGAGGCCUGCCUGCCACGUCCCACCUGGGCAACUCCAAGGAAACAUCGGCUGAGCGGAAAGCUGCAGGAAGCCCGCUGUGGGAGGGUGAAGGCAGGAAGAACGCUGAGGGCUGCAUUAUGGCUACUGUAAUUAGAAUAAAUUCCAGGCUCCUUACUUGGCCUGUACAACCCACCCCAGCUGGCUGCCACCCCCUUGCACCUCUCCACUGCACUGUGGCCCUGGCUGUGCUGGCCUUUUCCCUGUCCCUGGUGCCCCCCAUCCCAUCCCAGCAUCCGAUCAUCCAUCGGUGCUGUUCCCUCCCCUUUUUUCAUCCCACAGCAGCCGUCCUCCUCCCUCAAGCUCCCCUCACGUAUCUUCACAUAUCUGCACUUUGACUAGAGCAGACCCCACUGCUUCCAUAGCUCUGCCUUGCUGGCUUUAUAACACUUAUCCCUUUCAGAAAGUAGCUUUUUAAUUGAAUUUUAUUUUUAAACUUAUUUAUUCUCUAUCUUCUUUAAUGGAUUGUCAGCUUCAGAGGGCAGGGACUUGGUUUUGUUCUCUGCCAUAUCCCCAGAGCCUGGAAGAGUACCUGGCACAUACCUGGGGCUUCACAAACAUUUGUUGAAUAAAUGGAUGGAAGCCUGGGCCUUUCCAGAGCCCCACUGCUUUUCCAGAGAGAGGUAACCUGUGAGGUAUCACACCUAGCUCCUUCCCUCCCACAACCAGUGCUGGUCUGGGCUCAGCAUCUGCCGGCCCCAGGGCUCCCUUGAAGUGACCUGCUCACUGACGGCCAGGCCUCGCCAUGGAUAACACAUAUAUGCCUAUGCACUGUGAGAAGCAUCCUGAAGGGGCAAGGAAGGAGAAGAGGAGGGCCCGAGGGCUAUGGGAUGGUGGUCAGUGGUCCUGGCUGUGCACAGAGCUGUACCAACAACCAGGCGAUUCUCCUCCCACCCAGGAUGAUGCACUUCCUCCUCCUCCCACAGAGGCAGGGUCAAGGCCAGGGCCAGGGCAGGCUCCAGGAAGUGGUGUCCC